UACGUAGGGGGCGAGCGUUGUCCGGAGUUACUGGGCGUAAAGGGCAUGCAGGCGGUCGGACGCGUUUCGGGUGACAGCGGGUGGCUUAACUACCCGAGUGGUCGAAAGACGGUUUGACUUGAGGACGCGAGAGGGACACGGAAUUCCGGGUGGAGUGGUGAAAUGCGUAGAGAUCCGGAGGAACACCGAAGGCGAAGGCAGUGUCCUGGCGCGUAACUGACGCUAAGGUGCGAAAGCCAGGGGAGCGAACGGG
rnacentral:rRNA from 1 species